UAAUGAAUUAAAAAUGUCCACAAGACCACCAAGAAAAAGGGAAAUAUUUAAACAUCUAAACCUCUAAAUAGUGGAAAUAUAUGUUAAUGGCUAAUCCACAGAGGAACUGAUGAUAAAUAAGCAGGGAGAAAGAGAAACUGAAGGAACAUUUCCAUCAACCAGAACCAGAAUUAAUAUGUGUGCCCAUGUAUUUGAGGGACAGAGGAAGACUUCUCUUGCUACUCAUUCAAUGAAACCACCUCCUGGAGAUUGUGAAGCCCAGCACUGGGCACACCUGCAGCAGGGACCUCUCCUCUGAGGACACAGGGCCGCAGUUCCCAGCUUUCUG